GCGCCCAUAGCUCAAUUGGAUAGAGCGUCUGCCUUCGAAGCAGAAGGUUCCAGGUUCGAGUCCUGGUGGGCGCA
rnacentral:tRNA from 4 species